rnacentral:rRNA from 1 species
UACGAGGGGGGGCGAGCGUUGUUCGGAAUUAUUGGGCGUAAAGAGCUCGUAGGCGGUUUUGUCGCGUCUGCCGUGAAAGUCCGGGGCUCAACUCCGGAUCUGCGGUGGGUACGGGCAGACUAGAGUGAUGUAGGGGAGACUGGAAUUCCUGGUGUAGCGGUGAAAUGCGCAGAUAUCAGGAGGAACACCGAUGGCGAAGGCAGGUCUCUGGGCAUUAACUGACGCUGAGGAGCGAAAGCAUGGGGGAGCGAACAGG